rnacentral:tRNA from 1 species
GUGGGUAUAGCUCAGUGGUAGAGUACAUGCUUAGCAUGCAUGAGGUCCUGGGUUCAAUUGCCAGUACCUCCG